GUUGCAGCUAUGGAGUCGCGGGACAGGGUAGGCUGGGCGAGGGCGGUGCAAUCCCGAAAUUGGGAGUCUAAUGUCAAAUAACAAAACUUAGUUAUUAACAUUCUCAUAACCAGAAGAGAACCCCCACAAAUCGAAGAGAACUUACCAAUUGAUGGCGGCUGCGACGGUGAGGGUCGGAGCAAGGACGGUGGCGACGCCGGUGAGAGGACGGCGGUGAGAGAAAUGGAAGACCAGUAGCGGCUGGAACAGUGAUAAAAACCUAGGUUUGUAAUUGGGGGUAAAUGAUUACCGCUCGGUUGGAAC
rnacentral:lncRNA from 1 species